AUGCACGCUGGCGGCGUGCCUAAUACCUGCAAGUCGAGCGAACAGACGAGGAGCUUGCUCCUCUGACGUUAGCGGCGGACGGGUGAGUAACACGUGGAUAACCUACCUAUAAGACUGGGAUAACUUCGGGAAACCGGAGCUAAUACCGGAUAAUAUAUUGAACCGCAUGGUUCAAUAGUGAAAGACGGUUUUGCUGUCACUUAUAGAUGGAUCCGCGCCGCAUUAGCUAGUUGGUAAGGUAACGGCUUACCAAGGCGACGAUGCGUAGCCGACCUGAGAGGGUGAUCGGCCACACUGGAACUGAGACACGGUCCAGACUCCUACGGGAGGCAGCAGUAGGGAAUCUUCCGCAAUGGGCGAAAGCCUGGCGGAGCAACGCCGCGUGAGUGAUGAAGGUCUUCGGAUCGUAAAACUCUGUUAUUAGGGAAGAACAAAUGUGUAAGUAACUAUGCACGUCUUGACGGUACCUAAUCAGAAAGCCACGGCUAACUACGUG
rnacentral:rRNA from 1 species